CUUCAUAUCAUCUUCAAGCUCCCAAGUGGCCUCUCUCUCUUCAUGAUUACUCCAAUGAAUCUUUACAUACGGAAUGAUACGCCGUCUUAGAACUUGCUCUUUUCGAUCAAUAAUUCGGAGAAAAAAUUCUUCAUAGGUUAGAUCUUCAUGAACUUACAAUGGCUCAUACUUUAUCACACUAUUUGGAUCAGGUACAAACUUUCUCAGUAGUGAAACAUGAAAGAUAUUGUGCACUUUGGAUAAAUCUGGUGGUAAGACUAGUUCGUAAGCAACAUCUCCUAUUCGAUUUAAAAUUUCAAAAGAUCCAAUAUAUCACGGACUCAGCUUGCCAUGUCUCCCAAACCUCAUGACACUUUUUGUAGGUGAUAUUUUUAGAAAAAAUAUGAUCACCGAAGUAAAAUUUCAAUUCUCUUCUUUUUCUAUC
rnacentral:lncRNA from 1 species